rnacentral:tRNA from 1 species
UAGAUUAAGCCUGUUGUAUUAGGGUUUUAGCUGUUAACUAAAAGUUCGUGGGAUAGAAGCCCUCUAAUCUAG